rnacentral:lncRNA from 1 species
AUUCAAGGACAUAUACCUGAAUACAACAAUAGAGAAUCAGAAAUUUUGCUCGAGACUAGCAGGAACCAGUAGUACCAGAAAUCAGCAAUGUAACAGUAACAACAAAUUCAAACCCAGCCUUUUGAAAACCCAAACUCAAACCAUUUUCAACCAAAAUAUCAAAAACAAAAACCAAUCUCACUUGAUUUUGAUCAUCCAGAGAUUCCCAUGAACAAAACGAAGCAAAAUUAGAAUCCUGAAACCAAACUUUUAGCAAAACUUUAGUGUUUUUGAG